GACGAACGCUGGCGGCGUGCCUAAUACAUGCAAGUAGAACGCUGAAGGAGGAGCUUGCUUCUCUGGAUGAGUUGCGAACGGGUGAGUAACGCGUAGGUAACCUGCCUGGUAGCGGGGGAUAACUAUUGGAAACGAUAGCUAAUACCGCAUAAGAGUAGAUCUCGCAUGACAUUUGCUAAAAAGGUGCCAUUGCAUCACUACCAGAUGGACCUGCGUCGUAUUAGCUAGUUGGUGAGGUAACGGCCCACCAAGGCAACGAUACAUAGCCGACCAGAGAGGGUGGUCGGCCACGCUGGGACUGAGACACGGCCCAGACGGCUACGGGAGGCAGCAGUAGGGAAUCAUCGGCAAAGGAUGGAAGUCUGGCCGAACAAAGCCGCGGGAGUGAAGAAGGUUCUCGGAUCGUGAAGCUCUGUUGAAAGGGAAGAAAGGGUGUGACGGUGGAACGUUCACACUGUGACGGUAUCUUAGCAGAAAGGGCCGGCUAACUACGUG
rnacentral:rRNA from 1 species